rnacentral:lncRNA from 13 species
CCUCCUCUCUCUCUCUCUCUCUCUCCUCCCUUUUCCUCUCUCUCUCUCUCUCUCUCUCUCCCUCUAACCCCCCUCCUUCUUCUCUCCCCCCCCACCUCACCUCUCCCCCAUCCUGCUUUCUCCAUGGGAUAUGCCUGCCCUGCUUCACCUUCUGCAAAGAGUAAAAGCUUCCUGAGGCCUCCUAAAGCCAAGCAGAUGCUGGCACUGUUUCCUGUACAGCCUGCAGAACUGUGGUCUGGGAGUUCAAUAGGACUAGCUAAUUUCCUUUCUUCUAGAUAGAAGCAGUGAAGAAGAGUUCUGCCCGCCUCAGCUUCAACCACUGCAGAAAAUGCUCCACGUGAGCUCCAAGUGCCCAAGUUCAGGCUCUGGGUCACCAAAUUUGCAUCUCUGCCACCUCAAGGCAAAUAGGAAAUAUUAGAUUAUUAGAUUAUGCUUGUGUUUACUGCUUUAAUAAACAUUUGUUGAGUCUCA